AUACUUAAGCGGUUCAGGAUCUAUUUUAUUAGCCAUUGUAGGCACAUAAAAAACCGGUCUUCCCAUGCAAGCGUUUAUCGCGGAGCAUUCUUCUUCAGUAGAAAAACGGACAAUAUAAUAUGGACUAGAUACGGGACCAAAUGUCUCAUGAAUAUAGCCUAUAAUACUUCUGUCUUCAAAACAUAAAACCGUUUUUUCAUCAAAAACAAUCUUUUCAUCGUCGAUAUCACUUUUCACCACUACCUCUCGCUUCAAGACUUGUAUAAUUUUUCCCAAUGGUUCUAUUAACGAAUUAGGCUGAAGUACUAUUUCUGGCUUCUCGUAAAUUUGUUCCGGUAACUCAUUCACCGUUUUGGGAGGAGUACUAGGAGCCAUCGAUUCCGCAUCAGACUUUUCCUCUGCUUUCUCUUCUUCUACAUCAGUUUCGGAAAAAGAAGUAUUACUCUCUGAAUCUGAAGAUGAGUCUGAACUUAAAUCAGCAGACGAUUUACCAAUAGAAGAGUUACUAUGCGUAACCUCCGCAAUUUCAUCAGCGAUUUUUACAUUGGAUUUCUCGGAUGAAUUAGUAGCUGGAAUGCCAACUUCUUCGUUGCUAAUGAACUCCUCUUUUGGCAUGAGCAAACCUGAUGAUGGAACAACACAAUCCUUUGGGUUAGCCAAUGCAACAUCCAAUAAGUCGAUUUUGUUCUCAUCUUGAUAGUUUUCCUUGUGUUGGUUUAUAUCUUCUGUUGAAGAAAAUAAAAUUUCAUUAUCUUUUUGCUUAAUUUCGCCAGAAUUCGCUGAAGAAAUAUUCUGAAAGUUAACUAUGUUCGGUAGAUUAUUUUCAGUAUUAGUAUUCAAGUUGUUUUUAUCGAUUGGGUCGCCCUGUGGGGUAUUGAUAUUAUCGAUAGAUAAAUUUGAAGGAAUUUGAUCUUCUUUUACAAAAUUUGAUGAACUUGCGUUUGUAGACAGUUGCUUCGAUUUUUCAACUUUCGAUUCAUCAUCAUAAAUCAACGAAAGCCCUGGUAUUUUACAAGGGAGAUGCGGAUACAUAAAAACGCCUUUCGAAAAAGUUUUCGGUGCUUUCAAUUACGGGAUUUGGCAGAAUAUACUGAGACUAAGUUAGCAGGACGUAAAUAAUAAAAUUUGAUUUAUAUACAAUAA